rnacentral:rRNA from 1 species
AUUGAACGCUGGCGGCAUGCUUUACACAUGCAAGUCGAACGAUGAACGGUAGCUUGCUAAUGGGUUUAGUGGCGGACGGGUGAGUAAUGUAUAGGAACGUGCCUGGUAAUGGGGGAUAACGAGUCGAAAGAGUAGCUAAUACCGCAUACGCCCUGAGGGGGAAAGUAGGGGAUCUUCGGACCUUACGUUAUCAGAUGGGCCGAGCUCUGAUUAGCUAGUUGGUGGGGUAAUGGCCUACCAAGGCGACGAUCAGUAGCUGGUCUGAGAGGAUGACCAGCCACACUGGAACUGAGACACGGUCCAGACUCCUACGGGAGGCAGCAGUGGGGAAUUUUGGACAAUGGGCGAAAGCCUGAUCCAGCCAUUCCGCGUGAGUGAAGAAGGCCUUCGGAUUGUAAAGCACUUUAAGUAGGGAAGAAGGGCUGUCAUCGAAUACAUUGCGAUUUUGACGGUACCAUCAUAAGAAGCACCGGCUAACUACGUG